rnacentral:lncRNA from 1 species
CUUUUUAGGGCCACACCCACAGCAUAUGGAGGUUCCCAGGCCAGGAGUCAAAUUGGAGUUACAGCUUCCAGCCUACACCACAGCCAUAGCAAUGCAGGAUCCUUGCCACAUCUGCAACCUAUACCACGGCUCACAGCAACGCCAGACCCUUAACCCAAUGAGUGAGGCCAGGGACUGAAACUGUGACCUCAUGGUUCCUAGUCAGAUUCGCUUCAACUGCGCCACAACAGGAACUCCCAACAAAUCUCCUUACUUUUUAAUCACAAUGAUUAUGCGCUCUUCUCAUUAGGCCAUUGGGACACUUCCUCAAAACAUAGUGCUUUGAACCUACUGAAAACCACACAUCAAAAUCUACUGCACAUCAAAAAUAAGGACAUCCAUAAUUUUUUAAUUUUAAAAAAUAUGCACUGAAAAACAUGUUGUUUGAAUCCCUCAAGUUCAGAAUAUAGCACUUUAAGGUAUUUUUUUCUUUUAUUUUUUCUACUGUACACAUGGUGACCCAGUUACACAUGCAUUUUUUUUCUCCCAUUAUCAUGCUCCAUCAUAAGUGACUAGACAUAGUUCCCAAUGUUACAUAGCAAGAUCUCAUUGCUAAUCCGUUCCAAAGGCAGUAGUUUGCAUGACUUUAGUUUUGAUGACCUUAUAUUUUAAAGAAGGAAUUAUCACAUGCCAUCAAUGUAUUUAGCAUCACUUGGGAUAUUUUGAAGAAUGCAGCAGAAAUAUAAUAGAGCCUGUUUUCUAGAGCUUACCUUAUGCUAAGAUGACAAAUAUAUUUCCCAGCUUACAACAUCAAAUAUACUAUUAAGACAAUAUAAGAUAAAAGAUAAAUUGCAAAACAGGUUCCAAAUGUUUUAUGGGGGGGAGAUAAAAGAUAAUUCAAGAUGUAAAGAAAGAUUCUAUUAAAUAUGUUAGAAUUUAAGCAUUUAAGAAAUUUUUACUAAGUCCUAGCUACUUCAUGAGAUAGAAAAUAUCCCCUGAAUAUGGGAUUGUUUUCUUCUCUUACACAUUUCUCAUUCCCUGAAAAAAUUUCUAAGCACCUUUAUGUAUGGAGGAUCGUGGAAGGCUUUGGGAACACAACGAUAAAAGUAAUACAUUACUCUCAUUGAAAAAGCCUCUAGCUUUCCUGCUCCUGGCAUAGGUGGAGUGGUUUACAGCAGAGAUAUUUUCAAAGGCUUAAUCUGAAACAAUUUAAAAAGUUGGAGAAAAUUUUUUAAAAUGUAUGUAUUUAAAGAUAAAAAAUUUGAAUAAUCAAUAUACUGGAGAGAAGUGGAAGUAUGCUGUGGUAAUUUUCCCUUCCAGAUAAUUGUUAGGCUAUAAGAAGGGCAGGAUUAAGAGGCAGCCUAACUACCAUUUACCGUUUGUAGACUUUUUGAUGAUGAUCAUUCUAGCUGCCAUAAGGUGGUACCUCAAGGUAGAUUUGAUAUCACUUAUAUCUGGUAUCUAAUAUACAGCACAAAUGAACCUUUCCGCAGAAAAGAAAAUCAUGGACUUGGAGAACAGACUUGUGGUUGCCUGGGGGGAGAGGAAGGAGUGGGAGGGAUUGGGAGUUUAGGGUUAAUGGAUGCAAACUAUUGCCUUGGGAAUGGAUUAGCAAUGAGAUCCUGCUGUGCAGCACUGAAAACUAUGUCUAGUUACCACGAAGAAUGGUAACGAGGGAGCUUGGUUACAGGAGAAAAAAGAAUGUAUACAUGUAUGUGUAACUGGGUCACCAUGCUGUACAGAGGAAAAAAAAUUUUUUAAACUGAUUUGCAUUUCUCUAAUAAUUAGUGAUGUUGAGCAUCUUUUCAUGUUUUUUGGCCGUCUUCUUUGGAGAAAUGUCUAUUUAGAUCUGCCCAUUUUUUGAUGGGGUUGUUUGUAUUUCUGAUAUUGAGUGGCAGGAAGUGUUUGUAUAUUUUAGAGAUUAAUCCCUUGUCAGUCACUUCAUUUGCAAAUAUUUUCUCCCAUUCUGUGGGUUGUCAUUUCUUUUUGUUUACAGUUUCCUUUGCUGUACAAAAAUUUUUAAGUUUAAUUAGGUCCCAUUUUUUUAAUUUUUGUUUUUAUUUUCUUUACUCUAGGAGGCAGAUCUGAGAAGAUACUGCUGCAGUUUAUGUCAGAAAGUGUUUGGCCUAUGUUUUCCUCUAAGAGUUUUAUAUGCCUGACUUAAGCUUUGAUUGCAGAGGCAUUCAUUUCAAAAAGGCAUUCACUUCAAAGACCACUAUCUCAAAAAACACAUUGCCAGGCAUACUCUAGACAGAGCCAGGAUGUCUCCCCACACUGAGGCUCCUUUGUUUUAGAGAUCUUGGUUGAUUACAAUAACUGAUCAUCUGGGCUACUUGGUUUUUUUCACUUCCAGCUCUCAAAAUUUUGGAUCUUAAGUUUUAAAUUCAUCAAUAAAGAGUGAGCCCAUGAAAUGCUAGGCCCCCACCCUCAACCCCAAUAAAAUCAGAAACCCAGACCAUCUGUGGUCUCUCUCUAUGCUUGACCUCACUGUGUGGCCCCAGGUGUGCUGUAUAGUUUCCAUGUCUUCUAAGAAAGAAAACCUUUAUUUUUUCAAAGUUUCCUGACAGUUAUUGCUGAGAAGGAUCUUGCAAUUAUAAUAAGAGCUACAAGAGCUGGUCCAACCACAACACUGAUUAUUGAUAAGCUGAGACCAACACACAACACUUUUCUUUCUAAUUGAUGCAAUUAGGGCUAUAAAUUUGCCUCUUUAGCUUUUUCCACAUGUUUUAAUAUUUAUUAUUUUUACUAUAAUUCACUUCAAAAUAUUUUCUAAUUUACAUCUUGACUUUUAAAUUGAUUCAUAUGUUAUUUGUAAAUGUAUUCCUUAAUUUCUAGACACUUAGGAAUGUUUUAUUGUUUUACAGGUUAAUUUGAUUGUCACCAGAGAACAAAAAUUGUAUGAUUCCAAUCUGUUGAAACGUAUUGACACAUAAAAUGGCUCAGUACAUAGUUAAUUUUCAUAAAUAUUUCUGUGCACUUGAAAUAUAUAAUAGAAAACCCAGAAGAAUCUACAUAAAGGCUGUUAGAAUAAACAAGCAAGUUUUGCAGCGUUUCUGGAUAUAAAGAACAUAUUUAAAAAUCAACUGUGUUUCUACAUACAAUCAAAAACUCAAAAAUGAAAAAUUUUUAAGUAGUAUUAUUUAUAAAAAUGGUGUGGUAAACAAGAGAUGAGCCAUUAAGACCCAUGUUAAUGAAAAUCUUAUUGCCCCAUCCACGCAGUACCAUCAGAAGAUAGCUCCCUAUCACAACCCCUUCAGAAUUUUCCUCACUGACAAGGAGCCAUCUUGCUCAAUAGCAUGCCCUCCGCCCGCAAUCCAUAUCCAAUAAUGGAUAAUCACCCAGGGGCAAUUUUGAUGAGAUGAAUUUACUCACAGGUCCCUUUGGGCUUGGCCAAGUCUUUGUCAGACCUAUGUCGCAGUUUGACUUCUCCCUCUGUAAAUCACCCCUCUCUUUCACAGAUGUUCACCAUUAAUAAAUAACCUAUGUGCCUAUCUCCAUCUUGGCACCCAUUUAUACCAACCUGCAACAACUGGUACCAGGA